UACGUAGGGGGCAAGCGUUGUCCGGAAUCAUUGGGCGUAAAGCGCGCGUAGGCGGCCCGAUAAGUCUGCUGUGAAAGUCAAAGGCUCAACCUUUGAAUGCCGGUGGAUACUGUCGGGCUAGAGUACGGAAGAGGCGAGUGGAAUUCCUGGUGUAGCGGUGGAAUGCGCAGAUAUCAGGAGGAACACCAAUAGCGAAGGCAGCUCGCUGGGACGUUACUGACGCUAAGGCGCGAAAGCGUGGGGAGCGAACAGG
rnacentral:misc_RNA from 1 species